UUCCGUGCACUUCGAGGUUCAAAUCGAUUGUGGCGUCUCUGUCUACGCUACACUCUGCGGCAACACAACAGACACAGCUACGCGGUGAUGCCAAGACGCGACGCGACCCAGACGAACUAGACCUCUCUCUCCCUUAUUCUCGUUCUCUUGCUCUCUACUGCACUCACUUGUUCGCUACUUCCGCUGAUGCUCUACUCCUGCACUUUUUAAACGUAAACAUAUCUACUGUCUCAUUUUAUUUACGUAUUACGAUAUUGUCUUGUAAUAUUUCUGUCUUACUUUUUUUUCGGCUGUAAUACUCUUUGAGUGUGUGGACGCGUAGUAGAUACACUGGGUACAACUUUUCUUUGUGUCUAAGCCUGCUGCGCCGAAAAACACACUGGGCUAUAUAUAUAUAUAUAUAUAUAUGUUACGUCCUAUAUCCAAGUUCUUUGUUUUGUUUUGGUUUUUUUUGCUAAUAUGAAGUUUCAAAUUGCGCAGUUGCGUAAAUGUAUUAAUUCUGUUAUAAAAAUAAGGGGGAGAACAAAAAGUAAGAGCGGGAGACAAAGCCAGCGGGCAACCAACAGCAGGUGAAUUUUUAGUGAUUUUAUCAGUGAUUGUAAUUUUCAAACAAUUGUUAUUUUAAAUUGUGAUUAUUGUAGUUUUUUUUAAAUAGUGAGUUGUGAAUUGUGAAAGUGAAUCGAGUAUUUUUUAAAUAUAAGUGACAAGUGAUCGAGUAGUGACGCCAAAAUUUGUUAACAAUUUGGUGGUUAAGAUGGCGGCUGAAAAUUUUAUGAAAGCCGGGACCCGUUCAAAAUAAAAUUUUUCACACUAAGAAAUUGGUCAAUUGCCAGGAAAUUCUCAAAAAAAAUUUAUAGGCUGUUUUAUGAUAUUUUUUACCAGUAAUUUAUUUUCGAUACCAAAAUCACUUAUCCGACAAAGGGUCUGCUUUUUAUCUUUUGUUCUCUAAAGUAAAAGAAAAUAAAAUGGAGGAGAUGUCGGUCAUUAUUUUCAACAUUAGGAACAGUGAUGAGGAUUAAUAAUUAAAUUGAAUUACGGGAAAAUGUUGAUGAUGAUGAAGAAAGUGGCGGAUGUAAUCCGUGACCGCUGAUGCUGACUCGACGUCUGUGAAAAAGAUCGAAGAACAAACCUCAAGUCAAACAUAAUCCCGCCGGUCUCAGUUAAACAAAGGAUCCUCCAAUAUUUGACGGUCUAAUGUACUAAUAUACUUACUGCAAAAGAGCUAUAAGUACUGUACUAACGGAUUUACAGAGGGCAUGGUGUUUUGAAUGGGUGAAUAAAUAUUGAAGUUGUGUGACUUCUGGACGUGGGUCAGUUUGCUUUGGAUUUUUUCAAAUUAUACAGCUCAAAAAUGUGAGUAUUUUUGAUAUUUAUAUUUUACAUAUAUUUUAUGAGCACUUUUAAGGGGUUAACGAUAAAAUUUUAUUAAUAAAUAUCGGAGGUUGUAAAAUUAAUCCUUACUCCGUUGGGUCAUUUUUGUCUGGGUGUCUAUUUGAAGUAUGAAUUCUUUGUCAAAACAAAUUUGAAAAGUCCAAAACUUCUACAAGUUUCUAGUGAUUUUUACAUUUUUCAAAAUUUUGCGGAUGUUAAUGACUAAAUAUUUUAUUGAGGCAUGAAAUAUUUGUACGGGGUAUAGAUUAAUUAUGAAAAUAAUAAGAAAUUGUAAAAAUAAACUGUAUCAAAAUAAAAUUUCCUUAGGUUGUAAACAGAUCAUCAGACUUUUGUAAAAAAAACCUUCGAUUGUAAGAAAAGUAAAUGUUGAAAAA